UGAGUCCAGGAAACGUGGGACACAAAGGAAACGUGACAGGGGGGGAAAGGAUUCCCGGUCUCCUGGGUGAAAGUCCUGUGUUUUACCCAUCAACCCCCCUGUCCAACCUCCCUACGUGGAUUUUUGCCCUUUCAUACUACUCGCUACGGCCUAAACUCACACGCAAUCGCAAGGUGAUGGAAGUCAAUGGUGGCCAAACGGCGUUGAUAAGCACGCUAAAAAGCGAGUAUGCGUCUUGAUAACACGCCAAUAAUGGCAAACUAAUUGCUGUGUCAU